rnacentral:lncRNA from 1 species
CUGCUCCUCUGCCUUAGCAGAGGAUAGCGGGAGACCUAGCGUUGUUACGAGUAACAUCGGAAGCGUCCCAGUUGCAGUGAACAGGCUGAGGCGAGGCAGGUUAAGUGUCCCGAGAAACACGUGGUUGUGUCUGAGGCAGUCACUGUUCACUGGACUCGCCUCCCUGCCAUCUUGGUCUGAGUCCCUCUGCAGAGCUCCCAGAAGCCAGCCUGCUAGGAUGCCUCUGUUGCCUGGGUUUCAUGUUUGACUUGGAACAGGCUUCUCAAGACUCCAUGAAGCAGGGAGUUUGUUUAUCAUCAUCAUCAUCAUCAUCAUCACCAUCACUAUCACCAUCAUCAUCAUCAUCAUCAUCAUCACCAUCACCAUCAUCACCAUCACCAUCAACAUCAUCAUCACCAUCACCAUCACCAUCACCAUCAUCAUCAUCAUCAUCACCAACAUCAUGUCUCUAACCCACAAAUUGCACAUCGACAGUAAGACAUGGCCCGCAGUGAGCCUACAAAUGUUACAAGACUCUAAACAUUACAGAAUGGCAUUUUUUUUUUUUUUUUGGCAAGAAAAAAAAAAAAACCCCUGAGCUAAUUGAGGAGAGAAAAUGAAAGCUCAAUUAGCAAGGGAAGAGGAAAAACAGAUCAAUACCGGACAUUUGCUGAUUUUGGAAGAUAUAGAAGAGCUGAGGUUGUGUAGAUAAAGUACUGGUGGACUAGGGAUCUAUAAGUAAGAUAACAAAGAAAAGUUUUGGAAAAAAGACAUCUUAACAAUUUUAGAUUACGUUUGUCUUGUAUAUGCACACACACACAUGUGACACAGUGUGCAGGUGGAGGUCAGGGGACAACUUGUAGGAGCUCAUUCUUUCCUUCCACCACAUGGCACACGGGGCCCAGGUAUUGAAUUUAGGUCACCAGGCUUGGGGCUGUCUUUAUCCACUGAGCCAUUUUGCUGGCCUGAAAGAGGACUUUAACAGUCUACCUCCAUUCACUUUACUGUUUUCAUUGUGUUUUUAUUUUCUAAAUAAGGCUCUUAAAUUAUCUAUAGGGACCCUGUUAGCACACAUCUCCCCAUUCCAUACAGCCCAAGUACUUGAUUCUCCUUUGCUACAUGCAACACCAGCAAAUCAGAAAGCAAAAUACCAGAAAAAUCUCUUCAAAAUGGUUUAUAUGUGAUAUACAUAGAUCUUUCACUCUAUAAGUUACAUAGUGAUAAGGGGCAGACAGAGGGACACAGAGAAUAUUCCACUUGAGAUUUAGUUAAAGGAGUUGAUGUGCCUGUAAAUUUGAAUUUCAUGACCUCCAUGAAUCCAAGUCUGAGAAUAGUCAUCAAAUGUACUCAAAUUCUAAGAAUGGCACACUUCCUGCUUGAGAUGGGAUUACUGUAUUCAUGAC